GUAAACAUAGUUAAGCAAAACCCUAGAUUGUGAUUCUAGAAAUGAGAGAUAAUACCUCUCUGUUCACC